rnacentral:misc_RNA from 1 species
UUAGUUAUUGUAUUGAUACUCAGACGACACGAAUAUCAGAGUUUGAAAUGGCCUUCGGCGGGCGCGCGCGAGCCCGGGUGUCCCCCGGGCCGGCGUCGGGGGCCCCGAGGCCCGCCGAAGCAACAAAGGUAGGUACGCACGGGGUGAAGAGGCGGGGCCGAAGCCCCCGGGGCGCGAGCCCCUCUCUCGUUAAUGAUCCUUCCGCAGGUUCACCUACGGAAA